UUUCUCUUCCCGAGCUCUCGCUUACUAGACGCAAAACCCUAAUAUAGAGCGCGGCAGCGAGAGUAGCGUAGCAGGCCAAGAAUGGCCUCACUCUGCAGUUUGAUGGCCUAAAUCGAUUACAAGGAGAGAAAAUACUGUGGGGAAAUCUGUUAGCAUUGAUGAAUGUAGACGGCAUAUGAUGCUGAAUGCAAGUCAGCUAUAUACCGAUGGAAUAAUAUUGAAGAUGAGAUAUAUAGGCUACUUCUAUUCAGGCCAGACAUGUUGAAACAGGUCAUGAAUUUUUCAGUGGUGCAUAAAUAUAGAUUUGGAGUUCUCUUUGCAAAUAUGUACUACAGCUGAUGAACGAUGAUUGCCGCGGCCGGAUGAAACAACACAGAGACAGAGUAAAGCACAAUCAGCUGCCAUUACAUGUGGUCAGUCAUCAUAUGAACUGGAAAGUAGUGGGGAUCAAUGCGCUAACCUACAGAUCACACUCUCAUCACAAGAAAUGGGAAAGGAGAAGAAUUGUACAAGUCUCAUUUCUAGGGUUCCUAUGAUCAUCUAGAUACACGUUUUGAACUGAUUGAGUGUCAUAAUCUUCUGCAUAUAUGCUUGAUAAGCAAUUUGUGAAUGUUUCUUCCUAGCAGUACAUCCUCCUGCAUUCCAAAUAUGAAAA